CCUCUCUCGUUUUUCUAUCUGGUUAUCAUUUUCUCCAACUUUAUCUCUGGAAGAUCGAUCGAAAGAAGGAAUUGAAAAGAACAAUGAGAGGAGUUCAAUGUUGAAAUGGUUUCGUUCUCCUGCGACCCUGUCUCAACUGAUCAGGAGUCUUUUUUUCCCUUUGGAAUUAAUUUCUGGUAGUUGUAGAUUUCAGCAAAGAUUGGUUGAGGCGCAAAAAUAUACGUUAUAUCAACUCUUUGAUGUUCAAGAAUUUCCAUUUUGUUUUUCUUCAGAAAAUCAGAAUUCAGAGAAACAUUUUUGGGAGAUUAGUGGGCUUUGGAAGAAGAAUUCGAAGUUUUU